AAUUCUUCUAUUGUUCGCCGAAAGUAGUCUUACAGCGACACUGUGACGAUCAGUCUCACAAACUCUUUAAAUUUUCAGAGCAUGUAAUAAAUAUUGUCGUUGAGACAGCGAUGCUAGUAUGCUACAGAAGUCAUUAAAAUUGAGAGAGCUGGCUCUACGAAGAGAGAUUAUUGAGAGUGAGAGAGGCGACGACGUGGCCGAAUGUGAUUGGGUUUUAUUUGUAACAAAACCAAAAAAAUAAAGCACUAGUGCUUUGUUUCCUCCGCCAAAAAAGAACCCGACGGUUUCAUCUCUCUCUCUACAAAACAAAAAUCCGGUGGUAUGAUUUGCAAUUAGUCGACGGCGAUGAUGUGUGUAAUCGUGGAUCUGAGACGCCGGAUUUAUUUAAUUGGCAGACGCCGGAUUUGUGUUGAUGAGAUAGGUUCCAUUUUUUAUCUCUCAAUAAGAGAGACUGUUGGAAUCUCAUCUUUGUUAACAAUAUGCAACAGAGAUUGGAAGAGAAAGAUGUGAGAAGAUGGUGAGAGUAAGAACAAUCGUAACUCGUAAGCAAAAGAAGAAGAGAACAAGAAGAAGUGUGUUGUAGGUGGAAGAAGAACAAAUAAGAAAAAAAGAGACCACUCUGUUUUGUUUUGUUUUAUCUUAAUUGCGAGUGUGCUUC